rnacentral:rRNA from 1 species
CAUGUCUGGGCAUCGGUGGCGAUGACCGGCAAACAGCUCAGUAACACGUGGACAACCUGCCCUGUGGAGGAGGACAACCUCGGGAAACUGAGGCUAAUACUUCAUAGGUGGCAUGUUCUGGAAUGACUGCCACUAAAAGGCCCGGCGGCCUAUACCCGCCGUGUGCCAUAGGAUGGGUCUGCGGCAGAUUAGGUUGAUGUUGAGGUAAUGGCUCAACAUGCCUUCGAUCUGUAUCGGCUAUGAGAGUAGGGGCCGGGAGAUGGAUACUGAGACAAAGAUCCAGGUUCUACGGAACGCAGCAGUCGCGAAAUCUCCGCAAUGUGCGAAAGCAUGACGGGGGAACCCCAAGUGCCGAUCCACGAGAUCGGCUUUUGUGAAGUGUAAAAAGCUUCACGAAUAAGAGCUGGGUAAGACCGGUGCCAGCCUCCGCGGUAACACCGGCAGCUCAAGUGGUGAUCGCUUUUAUUGGGCUUAAAGCGUCCGUAGUCUGUUCGGUCAGUUUCCUGUGAAAUCCUGCCGCUCAACGGUAGGGCUUGCAGGAAAUACUUCCGGGCUUGGAGACGGGAUGGGUCAGGGGUAUUCCUGGGGUAGCGGUGAAAUGCGAUAAUCCUAGGAGGACCACCAGUAGCGAAGGCGCCUGACUGGAACGAGCUCGACGAUGAGGGACGAGAGCUAGGGGAGCGAACGGGAUUAGAUACCCCGGUAGUCCUAGCCGUAAACGAUGUGGGCUGAGUGUUUCUUGAACCUUGGGUUCAAGAAGUGCUGAAGGGAAACCGUUAAGCCCACCGUCUGGGGAGUACGGUCGCAAGGCUGAAACUUAAAGGAAUUGGCGGGGGAGCACCACAAGGGGUGGAUGCUGCGGUUUAAUUGGAUACAACGCCGGGCAACUCACCAGGGGCGACGGCAGGAUGAUGGCCAGGUUAAUGGUCUUGCCUGACGAGCCGAGAGGUAGUGCAUGGCCGCCGUCAGCUCGUACUGUGAAGCGUGCGGUUAAGUCCGUUAACGAGCGAGACCCGUACCUUCAUUUGCAACCUUCUCCGUCUGGAGGGGGGCACUAUGGAGGGACCGCUGGCGAUGAGUCAGAGGAAGGUGCGGGCAACGGUAGGUCUGUAUGCUCCGAAUCUCCUGGGUUACACGUGGCAUACAAUGGUGCAAACAAUGGGUUGCGAUCCCGAGAGGGUAAGCUAAUCCCCAACGUGCACCGUAGUUCGGAUCGAGGGUUGAAACUCACCCUCGUGAAGCUGAAAUCCCUAGUAAUCGCUGGUUACCAUCCAGCGGUGAAUAUGUCCCUGCUCCUUGCACACACCGCCCGUCAAACCGACCGAGUGGAUUGGGGACGAGGCCUUCUCAUCUGGGAGGGUCGAGUUCCGGGUCCGCAAGGGGGGUUAAGUCGUAACAAGGUA